rnacentral:rRNA from 1 species
CCCUACGGCUACCUUGUUACGACUUCGCCCCAGUUGCCAGCCUUCCCAUCGCCCCCUGCCUCCGGUCCGAAGACCGGUUAGCCCGGGGGCUUCCGGGAAGACUGACUUCCGUGGCGUGACGGGCGGUGUGUGCAAGGCCCGAGAACGUAUUCACGGCGGCUUAGCUGAUCCGCCAUUACUACCGAUUCCGGCUUCAUGAGGGCGAGUUUCAGCCCUCAAUCUGCACCAUGACCGGGUUUGGGGGAUUAGCUCCCCAUUACUGGGUCGCAUCCCAUUGUCC